rnacentral:rRNA from 1 species
UGGGGAAUCUUGCGCAAUGGGCGAAAGCCUGACGCAGCGACGCCGCGUGCGGGAAGAAGGCCUUCGGGUUGUAAACCGCUUUCAGGAGGGAAGCGGUACCUCCAGAAGAAGCCCCGGCAACUACGUGCCAGCAGCCGCGGUAAUACGUAGGGGGCAAGCGUUGUCCGGAAUUAUUGGGCGUAAAGAGCUCGUAGGCGGUCCUUUAAGUCGGAAGUGAAAUCUCAAGGCUCAACCUUGAAACCGCUUCGUAUACUGGAGGACUUGAGGCAGGUAGGGGAGAGUGGAGUUCCUGGUGUAGCGGUGAAAAGCGCAGAUAUCAGGAGGAACACCAGUGGCGAAGGACGGCGUCUCGCCGUGUCUGACGCUGAGGAGCGAAAGCGU